rnacentral:rRNA from 1 species
GAAAGUAAACAAGGGCGCAUGGAGGAUGCCUAGGCUCUCGGAGGCGAAGAAGGACGUGAUAAGCUGCGAAAAGUUACGGUAAGGCGCAAAUAGCCCUAGACCCGUAAAUAUCCGAAUGGGGCAACCCGGCCAGCAAUGGCCAUACCGCCAAGCGGUAAGCCAACGCGGGGAACUGAAACAUCUAAGUACCCGCAGGAAAAGAAAAUAACAAUGAUUCCGCCAGUAGUGGCGAGCGAACGCGGAACAGCCCAAACCACCCGUGUUACGGCACGAGUGGGGUAGAAGGAUCCACGCUACGGCAAGAAAUAAGUUAGCAGAAUACGAUGGAAAUCGUAGCCAGAGACGGUGACAGCCCGGUACGCGAAAACGGACAGAAGCCCAGUGGACACCUGAGUAACCCAGGACACGAGAAAUCCGGGGCGAAUCAGCGGGGCCCAUCCCGUAAGGCUAAAUACUCCCGAGAGACCGAUAGCGAACCAGUACUGUGAAGGAAAGGUGAAAAGAACCUCGAACAGAGGAGUGAAACAGACCCUGAAACCAUGCGCCUACAAGCGGUCGGAGCAUGUUAAAAUGUGACGGCGUGCCUUUUGCAUAAUGAACCUACGAGUUACUCUCGCUGGCAAGGUUAAGCGAUUCAGUCGCGCAGCCGAAGCGAAAGCAAGUCCGAACAAGGCGUACAGUCAGCGGGAGUAGACGCGAAACCAAGUGAUCUACCCUUGGUCAGGUUGAAGGUUGGGUAACACCAACUGGAGGACCGCACCGAUAAGCGUUGAAAAGCUUACGGAUGAACUGAGGGUAGGAGUGAAAGGCCAAUCAAACUUGGAGAUAGCUCGUACUCCCCGAAAUGCAUUUAGGUGCAGCCUCGAAGUAAAGUGAUAGAGGUAGAGCGACUGAUAAGAUGCGAGGGCUUCACCGCCUAUCAAGUCUUGACAAACUCCGAAUACUAUCACUUGAUCUUCGGGAGUGAGGGCAUGGGUGCUAAGGUCCAUGUCCGAAAGAGGAACAACUCAGACCACCAGCUAAGGUCCCGAAAUAAGGGCUAAGUUGAAUAAACGAAGUAAAACUGCAAAGACAGCUAGGAUGUUGGCUUGGAAGCAGCCAUUCAUUUAAAGAGUGCGUAACAGCUCACUAGUCGAGGAGUUUUGCAUGGAUAAUAAUCGGGCAUAAGCCCUUUACCGAAGCUGUGGAUGUCGUAAGACAUGGUAGGGGAGCAUUCCGGCGGCGACGAAGGCCGUCCUCGAGGACGACUGGAGCUUUCGGAAAAGCAAAUGUAGGUAUAAGUAACGAUAAAGGGGGCGUGAAACCCCCUCGCCAUAAGACUAAGGAUUCCUGAUCAACGCUAAUCGGAUCAGGGUAAGUCGGGCCCUAAGGCGCAGCCGAACGGCGUAGCCGAUGGAAGAAACGGUAAAGAUUCCGUUACUGGAUAUAGGAGCGAUGUGGAGACGGAGAAGUGACACACCCGCCUGCCGACGGAAGCGCAGGUUAAAGGAAGUAGGUAAACGCCGGGUAGGCAAAUCCGCCUGGCGUGCCGAAGCUGACAGUAUCGAGAGCCCCCGGGCAAUCGAAUAGCGGUGGUAAUCAGGCUCCCAAGAAAAUCCGCUAAGCAUAUUCUAUAUCCACCCGUACCCCAAACGGACACACGUAGUCGGGUAGAAUAUACCAAGGCGCUCGAAAGACUCACGGUUAAGGAACUAGGCAAAUUGACCCUGUAACCUCGGGAAAAAGGGUCCCCAGUAAGAUGGGGCGCAGAGAAUAGGUCCAGGCAACUGUUUAACAAAAACACAGGGCUGUGCAAAAUUUCAAGAUGAAGUAUACAGCCUGACACCUGCCCGGUGCCGGAAGGUUAAGAGGAGAGCUAAUCGCAAGAGAAGGCUUGAAUUGAAGCCCCGGUAAACGGCGGCCGUAACUAUAACGGUCCUAAGGUAGCGAAAUUCCUUGUCGGGUAAGUUCCGACCUGCACGAAUGGUGUAAUGA